GAUGAAGAACGCAGCGAAAUGCGAUAAUUAAUGUGAAUUGCAGAAUUCUGUGAAUCAUCGAGUCUUUGAACGCACAUUGCGCCUCAUGGCAUUCCGUGAGGCAUGCCCAUCUCAGCGUUAGAAAAUAUUCUCAAAUUUUAGUUUUGUGCUAAAAUUUGGAUCAUGUCAAAGAAGCUAUUACUAUUAUUGUGAUCGCUCUUUGGAAAUUGAUAGGUCUUUGAGUUGCUACUCAUAGAACGUGAUGAAUCUUUCUUCGUUCUAUUGUAAUUCACUCUGGUAGUCCUAAAACUUGUAUGCCUGUGGCAUAUCUUGUAAUUUGACCUGAGAUUGGGUAGGGAUACCCGCUGAACUUAAGCAUAUCAAUAAGCGGAGGA
rnacentral:misc_RNA from 1 species